GAUGAACGCUGGCGGCGUGCCUAAUACAUGCAAGUCGAGCGAACAGACGAGGAGCUUGCUCCUUUGACGUUAGCGGCGGACGGGUGAGUAACACGUAGGUAACCUACCUAUAAGACUGGGAUAACUUCGGGAAACCGGAGCUAAUACCGGAUAAUAUUUCGAACCGCAUUGUUCGAUAGUGAAAGAUGGCUUUGCUAUCACUUAUAGAUGGACCUGCGCCGUAUUAGCUAGUUGGUAAGGUAACGGCUUACCAAGGCAACGAUACGUAGCCGACCUGAGAGGGUGAUUGGCCACACUGGAGCUGAGACACGGUCCAGACUCCUACGGGAGGCAGCAGUAGGGAAUCUUCCGCAAUGGGCGAAAGCCUGACGGAGCAACGCCGCGUGAGUGAUGAAGGUCUUCGGAUCGUAAAACUCUGUUAUUAGGGAAGAACAAACGUGUAAGUAACUGUGCACGUCUUGACGGUACCUAAUCAGAAAGCCACGGCUAACUACGUG
rnacentral:rRNA from 1 species